ensembl:snoRNA
UUGGCCCUGAGUCAAGGCCGGCAGCUUCCUGACGCUGUUGGUUUCAAGCAGGAGCCUAAAGAGAUGUCUUUCUAUGGUCUGUUGGCCAAUUCAGAACUUGGGCAGUGAAAAAUGGUCAAUUCACUAGAAAGAAACAGCU